rnacentral:rRNA from 1 species
GACGAGGGAUCCUAGCGUUGUUCGGAAUCAUUGGGCGUAAAGCGGAUGUAGGUGGCUUUGUAAGUCAGGUGUGAAAGCCCUGGGCUCAACCCAGGAAGUGCAUUUGAUACUGCGAAGCUUGAGUGCUAGAGAGGUUACUAGAAUACCUGGUGUAGUGGUGAAAUACGUAGAUAUCAGGUGGAAUACCGGAGGCGAAGGCGGGUAACUAGCUAGACACUGACACUCAGAAUCCGAAAGUGUGGGGAUCAAACAGG